rnacentral:sRNA from 13 species
UUCAUUUGGCACAUGCAUGUAUGCCGCCAGCGCGCAGGCUGUCAUAGUGGUCGGGGGGUCGAUACCUCCCUGGACGAUUCCAAGAGCUCCAAGAUUUUCAAGGAUGGCGUUGACUCUAUCGGCGAGGAGAAUGAUGGUGCAAGC